rnacentral:rRNA from 1 species
AUUGAACGCUGGCGGCAGGCCUAACACAUGCAAGUCGAGCGAGUGGCGGACGGGUGAGUAAUGUAUGGGGAUCUGCCCGAUAGAGGGGGAUAACUACUGGAAACGGUAGCUAAUACCGCAUACUAUCAGAUGAACCCAUAUGGGAUUAGCUUGUAGGUGGGGUAAAGGCUCACCUAGGCGACGAUCUCUAGCUGGUCUGAGAGGAUGACCCGCCACACUGGGACUGAGACACGGCCCAUACUCCUACGGGAGGCAGCAGUUGGGAAUAUUGCACAAUGGGCGCAAGCCUGAUGCAGCCAUGCCGCGUGUAUGAAGAAGGCCUUAGGGUUGUAAAGUACUUUCAGCGGGGAGGCGUUACCCGCAGAAGAAGCACCGGCUAACUCCGUGCCAGCAGCCGCGGUAAUAC